rnacentral:rRNA from 1 species
AUUGAACGCUGGCGGCAUGCUUUACACAUGCAAGUCGAACGGCAGCGCGGGCUUCGGCCUGGCGGCGAGUGGCGAACGGGUGAGUAAUACAUCGGAACGUGCCCAGUAGUGGGGGAUAGCUCGGCGAAAGCCGGAUUAAUACCGCAUACGACCUGAGGGUGAAAGCGGGGGAUCUUCGGACCUCGCGCUAUUGGAGCGGCCGAUGGCAGAUUAGCUAGUUGGUGGGGUAAAGGCCUACCAAGGCGACGAUCUGUAGCUGGUCUGAGAGGACGACCAGCCGCACUGGGACUGAGACACGGCCCAGACUCCUACGGGAGGCAGCAGUGGGGAAUUUUGGACAAUGGGCGAAAGCCUGAUCCAGCAAUGCCGCGUGUGUGAUGAAGGCCUUCGGGUUGUGAAGCACUUUUGGCGGGAACGAAAAGGACUGUGCCAAUACCACGGUUCGAUGACGGUACCCGCAGAAUAAGCACCGGCUAACUACGUG